rnacentral:rRNA from 1 species
UACGGGAGGCAGCAGUGAGGAAUAUUGGUCAAUGGGCGAGAGCCUGAACCAGCCAAGUAGCGUGCAGGAUGACGGCCCUAUGGGUUGUAAACUGAGUUUUGCCGGGGAAUAAAGUGCAGUACGUGUACUGUUUUGUAUGUACCCGGAGAAUAAGGACCGGCUAAUUCCGUGCCAGCAGCCGCGGUAAU